UCCGUAGGCGGUGUGGCAAGUCGGAAGUGAAAUCUCUGGGCUUAACCCAGAGGCUGCUUCCGAAACUGCCGUGCUAGAGUGUGAGAGAGGCGAGUGGAAUUGCGGGUGUAGCGGUGAAAUGCGUAGAUAUCCGCAGGAACAUCCGAGGCGAAAGCGGCUCGCUGGAUCACAACUGAUGCUGAGGGACGAAAGCUAGGGGAGCAAACAGGAUUAGAUACCCUGGUAGUCCUAGCCCUAAACCAUCAGGACUUGGGGUUUGCCCUGUACGGGGCAAGUCCCGUAGCUAACGCGUUAAGUCCUGCGCCUGGGGAGUACGGUCGCAAGGCUGAA
rnacentral:rRNA from 1 species